AACGAACGCUGGCGGCAUGCCUAACACAUGCAAGUCGAACGAGACCUUCGGGUCUAGUGGCUCACGGGUGAGUAACGCGUGGAAACCUGCCCUUAGGUUCGGAAUAACUGCCCGAAAGGGGUGCUAAUACCGGAUAAUGUCUUCGGACCAACGAUUGAUCGCCUUUGGAUGGGGCUGCGUUGGAUUAGCUAGUUGGUAGGGUAAAAGCUUACCAAGGAGACGAUCCAUAGCUGGCCCGGGAGGAUGAUCCACAAUUCUGGGACUGAGACACGGCCCAGAUCUCUAGGAGAGGGAGAAGGGGGGAAUAUUCAACAAUGGGCGAGAGAUGGCUGCAGCCAUGUCGUGUGACUGUGGAAGGCGUGAGGGUUGUAAAGCUCUUUUACACGGGACGACAAUGACAGUACCGGGAGAAUAAGCUCCGGCUAACUCCGUG
rnacentral:rRNA from 1 species